rnacentral:lncRNA from 1 species
CUAGGGAGCUGAGUAAUUUAUGGCUACAGAUAGCACUCUGAAUCGCUAGUAAACUUUUCAAAUUGUUACUUUCUUUAACAAAAGUCAUUAUUUAAUUUUUAUAAGCUGCAGUGUGCUAAAAAGUUUUUAGGCGCUCUACAAAUCACACAAUUCAACAUGACUGCUACUUGGAUAGAUUGCAGAUUGGCCAAGCUUUUUGUUCUGCCUUGUCUUCUUUACUCUCAAUCAAUAAACCUUUGAGAGAGAUAAAUUUCUCUGGAGGACUCGUGUCUUCCCCAACAUAGAGGCUUAUUAUGAUAUUAAAAAGAAUCAAGGUCUAAAGUGAUCAUUUAAAAUAAAACAGUUGGGAGUUCCCAUUGUGGCUCAGUGGAAAUGAACCCAACAAGUUUCCAUGAGGAUGAGGGUUUGAUCUCUGGCCCCACUCAGUGGGUUAAGGGUCUGGCAUUGCUGCGAACUGUGGUGUAGGUUGCAGAUGUGGCUCUGAUCUGGCAUUGCUGUGGCAGCUGUAGCUCUGGUUCGACCCCUAGCCUGGAAACCUCCAUAUGCCACAAGUGCAGCCCUGAAAAGCAAAAAAAUAAAAAUAAAAAUAAAAAAUAAAACAAAACAAUUGCAUUUUCUGUUUAAAUGAUAGUUUGUUGAGAAUUAUGCUGCUGUUACUUGAAGCUGGCACAUCAGCCAUAUCACCAUUUGCAUCAUUUCUUGUGCAAAAUGUGAGGGUUCAAAUUCUGGUUUAAAUACCAGCCUAGAGAAACACAUUUAAUUUAUUAAGUGUAUACAGAGUACAAGUUAAAGGGAAGCUGAAAGGAAAAUAAUAAGCUCAAUAAGAAUACCUGCUGACCCCAGGGAGGAUAAAGGCUUUUUGUUUCAGCAAAUCUGCUCAUGGAUGGCUUUGGAAGGGACAGUGGCUCAGUCACUUCAGAGUCCACUUGUUCUGCUUUUUCUUUAAGUAGUGCAAAUGCCCUUUCUGUUGCAUGCACUUCCUGGAAAUUCCUCUGAACUUUCUCAUGACUUAUUUUCAUUUACAAGGGUUCAUUUCCUCAAAGAGAAUUUUGGAGGACCCUGUUAUUUAUGCCUCCUAGGUAUAGGCACUGGAAAGGAUAUGUGAAGGGUAGAAGACACAGAACCUGUGUGUAGAAAAUGCCAAGAAAUCAGGUUAAAAAAAACUUUGAAAGAGAGAAUCAAGUAUAACAUGGACCAUGACAUGAUGCAAAUAAGAAUGAAAGAAACCAAAAGAAUACAAAUGGAGUGCUUGAUGAGGUGUCUGGGAACCUAGAUCUAGUUUUGGCUGUGACCUGGGAAGAGCUGCCUACACUAACUGGAUCUAAAAAUUAUCAUAUAAUUAUUAUUUAUAUAGACUUGAAACUCAGUCAAUCCCAUAGUUACUUUUUUUUAAUUUUUAAGAAUUUUUUAUUUUUUUGGCAUUAUAUAAUGACUUUUGUUUUCUCCGUUAUAGCUGGUUUACAGUGUUCUAUUUUCUACUGUACAGCAUGGUGACCCAGUUACACAUACAUGUAUACAUACUUUUUCCUCACAUUGUCAUGCUCCAUCAUAAGUAACUAGAUAUAGAGCAGGAUCUCAUUGCUUAUCCAUUCUAAAGGCAAUAGUUUGAAUCUAUUGACCCCAAAUUCCCAAUCCAUUCUACUCCCUCCCCCCUCCUUGGCAACUACAAGUCUGUUCUCCAUGUCCAUGAUUUUAUUUUCUGUGGAAAGUUUCAUUUGUGCCAUAUAUUAGAUUCCAGAUACAAGUGAUAUCAUAUGGUAUUUGUCUUUCUCUUUCUGACUUACUUCACUUAGUAUGAAAGUCUCUAGUUCCAUCCAUCCAUGUUGUAGCAAAUGGCAUUAUUUUGUUCUUUUUGUGGCUGAGUAGUAUUCCAUUGUGCAUAUAAACCACAUGUGCUUAAUCCAAUCAUCUGUCAAUGGACAUUUAUGUUGUUUCCAUGUCUUGGCUAUUGUGAAUAGUGCUGCAAUGAAAAUGCAGGUGCAUGUGUCUUUUUCAAGGAAGGUUUUGUCUGGAUAUAUGCCCAAGAGAAGGAUUGCUGGGUCAUAUGGUAGUUCUAUGUAUAGUUUUCUAAGGUACUUCCAUACUGUUUUCCAUAGUGGUUGUACCAAUUUACAUUCCCAAAAACAGUGCAGGAGGGUUCCCUUUUCUCCACACUCCCUCGAGCAUUUGUUGUUUGUGGACUUAUAAUGAUGGCCAUUCUGACUGGUGUGAGGUGGUACCUCAUAGUAGUUUUGAUUUGCAUUUCUUUAAUAAUCAGUGAUGUUGAGCAUUUUUUCACGUGCUUGUUGUCCAUCUGUGUAUCUUCUUGGAGAAAUGUCUAUUCGGGUCUUUUACCCAUUUUUCAGUUGGGUUGUUGGCUUUUUUGCUGUUGAGUUGUAUAAGUUGUAUAUUUUAGAGAUUAAACCCUUUUCAGUUGUAUCAUUUGCAACUAUUUUCUCCCAUUCUAUAGGUUAUCUUUUUGUUAUUUACUAUUAUUAUUAUUAUUAUUUUUGUCUUUUUGCCUUUUCUAGGGCCACUCCCAUGGCAUAUGGAGGUUUCCAGGCUAGGGGUCUAAUCCGAGCUGUAGCUGCCAGCCUAUGCCAGAGCCACAGGAAGGCGGGAUCUGAGCCGCAUCUGCAACCUACACCAUAGCUCACGGAAAUGCUGGAUCCUUAACCCACUGAGCAAGGCCAGGGAUCGAACCCACAACCUCAUCAUUCCUAGUAGGAUUCAUUAACCACUGCGCCACGACAGAAACUCCUUGUUAUUUUUUAAUGGUUUCCUUUGCUGUGCAAAAGCUUGUCAGUUUGAUUAAAUCCUAUUGGUUUAUUUUUGCUUUUGUUUCUGUUACUUUGGAAGACUGACCUGAGAAAACAUUGGUAAGGUUGAUAUCAGAGAAUGUUUUGCCUAUGUUCCCUUCUAGGAGUUUGAUGGUGUCUUGUCUUACAUUUAAGUCUUUAAGCCAUUUUGAGUUUAUUUUCAUUCAUGGUGUGAGGGUGUGCUCCAGUUUCAUUGAUUUACCUGUGGCAGUCCAGUUUUCCCAGCAAGAAUUGCUGAAAAGACUGUCUUUUUCCCAUUUUAUAUUCUUGCCUUCUUUGUCAAAGAUUUUUUUUUUCAUUUAUUUAUAUAUAUAUAUUUUUUCUACUGUACAGCAUGGUGACCUAGUUACACUUACAUGUAUACAUUCUUUUUCCUCACAUUUCAUGUUCCAUCAUAAGUGACUAGACAGAGUUCCCAGUACUACACAGGAGGAUCUCAUUGCUAAUGCAUCCUGAAGGCAACAUUCUGCAUCUAUUUACCCCAAGCUCCCAGUCCCUCCCACUCCCUCCCCUUCCUCCUUGGCAACCACAAGUCUAUUCUCUGAGUCCUUGAUUUUCUUUUCUGUGGAAAGAUUCCUUUAUGCCAUAUAUUAUAGUCCAGAUAUAAGUGAUAUAUGGUACUUGACUUUUUGACUUCACUCAAUAUGAGGGUCUCUAGUCCCAUCCAUGUUGCUGCAAAUAGUAUUAUUUUGCUCUUUUUAUGGCUGAGUGGUAUUCCAUUGUGUAUAUAUACAUGUAGGUUUCUGGGUUUAUUUCUGGGUUCUCUAUUCAGUUCCAUUCAUCUGUAUGUCUGUUUUGGUACCAGUACCACAUUGUCUUGAUACUGUGGCUUUGUAAUAUUGCCUGAAAUCUGGAAGAGUUAUGCCUCCUGCUUGGUUUUCAUUCCUCAGGAUUUCUUUGGCAUUUCUGGGUCUUCUAUGGUUCCAUAUAAAUUUUUGUAUUGAUUGUUCUAGUUCUGUGAAAAAUGUUAUGGUUAAUUUGAUAGGGAUUACAUUGAAUCUGUAGAUUGCUUUGGCUAGUAUGGCCAUUUUUACAAUAUUAAUUUUUCCAAAAUAUGAGCAUGGAAUCUUUCCAUUUCUUACAUCUUCUUUAAUUUCCUUGAUUAAUGUUUCAUAGUUCUCAGCAUGUAAGUCUUUCACCUCCUUGGUCAGGUUUAUUCCCAGGUAUUUGAUUUUUUGGGAUGCAAUUUUAAAAUGUAUUGAAUUUUUGUAUUCCUUUUCUAAUAUUUCAUUGUUAGUAUACAGAUAUGUGACUGAUUUCUGAAUGAUAAUAUUAUAUCCUGCUACUUUGCUGAAUUUAUUUGUCAGUUCAAGUAGUUUUGGGGUUGAGUCCUUAUGGUUUUCUAUAAAUAUAAUAUCAUGUCAUCUGCAAAUAGUGACAAUUUUACCUCUUCUCUUCCAAUUUGGAUGCCUUUUAUUUCUUUUGUUUGUCUGAUUGCUGUGGCUAGGACUUCCAGUACUAUGUUGAAUAACAGUGGUUAGAGUGGGCAUCCUUGUCUUGUUCCAGAUUUUAGUGGGAAGACUUUCAGCUAUUCUCCAUUGAGUAUUAUAUUUGCUCUGGGUUUGUCAUAAAUGGCUUUGAUUAUGUUAAGGAAUGUUUGCUCUAUACCCACUUUGGAAAGAGUUUUUUACAUGAAUGGAUGUUUGUCUGUUGCCUUAUUCAUUUCUGUCCAGAGGAUCUGUCCAUUGAUGUGAGUGGGGUGUUAAAAGUCUCAUACUCUGAUUGUAUUCCCAUCAAUUUCUCCUUUUAUGUCUGUUGGUAUUGGUUGUAGGUAUCUGGGUGCUCCUAUAUUAGUGGUCUAUAUAUUGAUGAUUGUAAUAUCCUCUUAUCAAAUGGAUCCUUUUGCUAUUAAAUAGUGUCCUUCUUUGUCUUUCUUUAGGGCCUUCAUUUUAAAGACUAUUUUGUUUGAUAUGAGUAUUGAAGCUCCUGAUUUCCUAUCUUGUCCAUUGGCAUGAAAUAUCUUUUCCCAUCCCCUCACUUUCAAUCUGUAUGUGUCCUUUGCGCUAAGUUGAAUAUCUUAUAGGCAGCUGAUUAUAGGUUUUUGCUUUUUUUUUUUUUUUUAUCCAAUCUGCCACUUUGUGUCUUUUGAUUGGAGCAUUUAGUCCAUUGACAUUUAAGGCGAUUUUUGAUAGAUAGGUAUUUACUGCCAUUUUAAACCUUGUUUUCCAGUUGAUUCUGUUUCUCUUUUUGUCCUUUCUUACUUGGGUUGGAUGAUUUCCAUUUAUUUUAUGCUCGAGUACUUUUCUUUUUAGUUUUUGUGAAUGUAAUGUUUGGUUUUGAUUUGUGGUUGCCCUGUUUUUUAAGUAUGUUAACCCCUUCCUCUAUCUGCUUGUUUUAGCCUGAUAGUCUUAUAGGCUCAAACA